AUACGUAGGGGGCGAGCGUUGUCCGGAAUGAUUGGGCGUAAAGGGCGCGUAGGCGGCCCGGUAAGUCUGGAGUGAAAGUCCUGUUUUUAAGAUGGGAAUUGCUUUGGAUACUGUCGGGCUUGAGUGCAGGAGAGGUAAGUGGAAUUCCCAGUGUAGCGGUGAAAUGCGUAGAGAUUGGGAGGAACACCAGUGGCGAAGGCGACUUACUGGACUGUAACUGACGCUGAGGCGCGAAAGUGUGGGGAGCAAACAGGAUUAGAUACCCUGGUAGUCCACACUGUAAACGAUGAGUGCUAGGUGUAAGAGGUAUCGACCCCUUUUGUGCCGGAGUCAACACAAUAAGCAUUCCGCCUGGGGAGUACGGCCGCAAGGUUGAAACUCAAAUGAAUUGGCGGGG
rnacentral:rRNA from 1 species